rnacentral:rRNA from 1 species
GGGGAAUUUUGCGCAAUGGGGGCAACCCUGACGCAGCAACGCCGCGUGAGUGAUGAAGGCUUUCGGGUCGUAAAGCUCUGUCAAUUGGGGCGAAAUGUAUAUUGGUUAAUACCCAUUAUACUUGACGGUACCUUUGAAGGAAGCACCGGCUAACUCCGUGCCAGCAGCCGCGGUAAUACGGAGGGUGCGAGCGUUGUUCGGAAUUAUUGGGCGUAAAGCGCGUGCAGGCGGUUUGGUAAGUCUGAUGUGAAAGCCCCGGGCUCAACCUGGGAAGUGCAUUGGAAACUGCUGGACUUGAAUACGGUAGAGGGUAGUGGAAUUCCUGGUGUAGGAGUGAAAUCCGUAGAUAUCAGGAGGAACACCGGUGGCGAAGGCGGCUGCCUGGACCGAUAUUGACGCUGAGACGCGAAAGCGUGGGUAGCAAAC